rnacentral:rRNA from 1 species
UACAGAGGUCCCAAGCGUUGUUCGGAUUCAUUGGGCGUAAAGGGUGCGUAGGCGGCGCGGUAAGUCGGGUGUGAAAUCCCGGGGCUUAACUCCGAAACUGCAUUCGAUACUGCCGUGCUUGAGGACUGGAGAGGAGACUGGAAUUUACGGUGUAGCGGUGAAAUGCGUAGAUAUCGUAAGGAAGACCAGUGGCGAAGGCGGGACUCUGGACAGUUCCUGACGCUGAGGCGCGAAGGCCAGGGGAGCAAACGGG